AAAUUACAAAUAUUAUCCGUGCAGGAUUCAUUAUGUAAACUAGUAACACUUCCAAGUAUAGUUUCUAGUUUCGAUUCCUCCAAACAAUGAUCAACCUGCUUCUUUGUUAGUUCUAAUGGACUUGUUCGUAUUCCCAUCCCGGGCUUUUGUUUGGUCAUAUUCUUUUGAGCUUUGGCACUUCAUAUAACAAAAAAACAAAUGUGUUCUAAACCACGGCAAAAAAGAAAAACAAAACACAGUUGAGUCGAGUGUUUAUAUCUUCAAAUUACAAUGAUUUAGUUGUUUAUAGAGUAAACAAAACAUAGUUAAGCAAAGCAUUGUCAUUGUAUAAACCACUGAUCAUUACAUUGCCUUCAAAUACAGUAAACACAGAUGAUAAAUUAUUUAUGAAUAAAAUAAAACUACUACACCAUCUGACAACAUAACUUCAAUUCAACCCACAAAAAACUAGAGGCAGCAAGAAGCUUGUGGUUAUUAGUAUUAGUUGGUGAAGUUGGAGAUUGUGGCUUGAGGCUCACAAGCCUUGGCAGCAGGGCUGGGCUCAACAGCAGGGCUUGGUUCCACAAGCUUCACAGCAGUAAGCUCCUCAGGCAAAUCCUCAAUCCCCUUGAGGUAAAAAGUGUAGAGGAUCUUGAAAGGGAACACAAUCUGGUGCAGCUUCACCUGCCCGUACACUCCUUCAAAGAUCCCAGAGCCACCAGUCACAGCCAGAUACGUGUCCUCGUAGGUCAAAUAAGGUCCUUGAACUGAAAUGUGACCAUAGUCUCCAAAAUAGAAGCUGUAAAUAGCCUCAUAUCGAUCACCUUUCUUCUCCGGCUUGUUCUCGAUCAAAAUGCAGAUGCCUGCUGUCACUCCCAAGCGUUUCUGAAGAUCCCCAGUAUAU
rnacentral:lncRNA from 1 species